rnacentral:rRNA from 1 species
ACACGACUACAUUAGAUACCCGGGUAGUCCUAGCCGUAAACGAUACUCGCUAGGUGUCGGCCACGGUGCGACCGUUGUCGGUGCCGUAGGGAAGCCGUGAAGCGAGCCACCUGGGAAGUACAGCCGCAAGGCUGAAACUUAAAGGAAUUGGCGGGGAGCACAACAACGGGUGGAGCUUGCGGUUUAAUUGGAUUCAACGCCGGAAAUCUUACCGGGACCGACAGCAACAUGAAGGCCAAGCUGAAGACUUUGCCGGAUUAGCUG